rnacentral:rRNA from 1 species
AUGACGAUCAUGGCGUGGAACUGUCGAGGCCUCGGGCAACCUCGCACGGUUCAGGAACUUGUGUGUCUAGUGCACAUCUACAAGCCCAAGCUCGUCUUUCUGUCUGAAACACGGCAAAAUAAUAAGUACGUCAGUAAUAUGAAGUGGAGGCUCGGCCUUCAUCACUGUAUCACGCAACCCGGCACUGGAAAAGGUGCCGGCAUUGCCCUCUUUUAUGAUGAGAGUGUUGAAAUAAAGAAGAUUGCCGUGGGGGCGAGGUAUAUCGAUGUGUUGAUCCGGUUGAAUCCUCAAGGGUUGCAAUGGAGAGGGACCUUUGUCUAUGGAGAACCAAAAGCCCAUGAACGCCACCAUAUGUGGACUCUCCUUAAGAGGAUUAAAAUUCUAGUGAUCUGCCCUGGUUGA